UAGCCAUUCAUUCAGAUCCUGGUAUUAGGCCAUGGCAUAAAGGUGCCUAGUAGGUCGGACUGUCUUCCUCUCUGUCUCUCGCUCGGUUUGUCCCUGGGUUUCACGCAGGAGCCAAUCGCCAGGUAUGUUGCAAUUUCGCUGCAUUGGUUAAGCUAUUCAUGCCUAGUUUUAAUACUUUACUCUUUCCAUCUGUAGCUCUGCGUCUCCCUUACUCUGCCGUGGCUGUAUGGAACCUGACCUGUCUAGCAUUAGAUAACUCUCCCCUGCAGCUUAUGACGACGGCACGGCGUGUGUUUUAAGCGUUCUUUAGGCCUACUGGCUAAUCAGUGACUGCAAGUGUUUGUGAGAGUGCACGUGUGGACACCUUCCUUGAUAGUCUGCUUCCCCCCCAUCCAGGUAAGCCCCGCCUGCCAGUAUAAUUUUCUGUUUUAUUUUGGUGCGUGCAACAUUCCCAGCUGAUGUGUGCUUGUGCUAUUUAACUCAUGUCAUGCAUCCUACACGACAGUAGAAAGAUACAAUAAGAACACUAAAAUAAAGUAUAUUUUUAUAUGUUUCUAACCCCCGCCAGUUAUUUUCAGUUUCAGCAACAGAUCACACCACACUCCCCCCUCCCUCUCCCCAACAGUGCUUUCAAUAAACGGACAUUUGAUUUGAUUGGAA